CAAGCAGAUCGGUCUAUCGCGCCUUCGGGUGAGGAAAGUCCGGGCAGCACAGAGCACCACAGCGGUUAACGGCCGUCAGGCAGAAAUGUUUGGUCACUGCUACAGAGACGAGUGAUGUGAAACGAGCACACUGUGGGCUGCAAUUCCAAGUAAACCAACGUCUGAGCGUUGCUCGCGUGAGUUGGAGGGUAGGAUGCGACAGAAGCACGUGGUAACACGCGACUCAAGAUUAAUGAUAGACGCCCUUCGGGGUACAGAACCCGGCUUAUAGAUCUGCUUCCCCU
rnacentral:RNase_P_RNA from 1 species